rnacentral:rRNA from 1 species
UUGAAAGGGAAACGAUUGAAGUCAGUCGUGCUGGCGCGAAAUCAACCUUCACGUCUUGAGAUCACAUGGCGUGGCGAGCCUCAAAACCGUCACGAAGCGUGAACUCUUGGUGAAAUGGAGCACUUUCGUGUCCGCUGGUUAACAUCAAUUUCGAACGUCAUAAAAAGGCUGGAGGGAUGUGGCUCCUUCGGGAGUGUUAUAACCUUUAGCGGAAUGUGGUGUUCGGGAUUGAGGACUGCAACGAAUACCUUUAGGGCUGUUCCACCUGGCUUCUCUUUGGUAUCCUGGUGACGACAGCUUGCUGACGUCGUUAGGAUUCGCCUUUGAACAGGCUAGAGUGUGAGCAAAUUCGUUAAGGAUGUUGACGUA